rnacentral:rRNA from 1 species
AUUGAACGCUGGCGGCAGGCCUAACACAUGCAAGUCGAGCGGAUGAAGGGAGCUUGCUCCUGGAUUCAGCGGCGGACGGGUGAGUAAUGCCUAGGAAUCUGCCUGGUAGUGGGGGAUAACGUCCGGAAACGGGCGCUAAUACCGCAUACGUCCUGAGGGAGAAAGUGGGGGAUCUUCGGACCUCACGCUAUCAGAUGAGCCUAGGUCGGAUUAGCUGUUGGUGGGGUAAAGGCCUACCAAGGCGACGAUCCGUAACUGGUCUGAGAGGAUGAUCAGUCACACUGGAACUGAGACACGGUCCAGACUCCUACGGGAGGCAGCAGUGGGGAAUAUUGGACAAUGGGCGAAAGCCUGCUCCAGCCAUGCCGCGUGUGUGAAGAAGGUCUUCGGAUUGUAAAGCACUUUAAGUUGGGAGGAAGGGCAGUAAGUUAAUACCUUGCUGUUUUGACGUUACCAACAGAAUAAGCACCGGCUAACUUCGUG